GACGAACGCUGGCGGCGUGCUUAACACAUGCAAGUCAAGGGGAAAGUUUCUUUCGGGGAACGAGUAUACUGGCGGACGGGUGAGUAACGCGUAGGUAACCUGCCCUCGGGAUCGGGAUAACACUGCUAACGCGGUGCUAAUACCGGAUGAUACGUUUAAGCUGCAUAGUUUUGACGUGAAAGCGGGCUUCGGCUCGUGCUUGAGGAUGGACCUGCGUCCCAUUAGCUAGUUGGCGGGGUAACGGCCCACCAAGGCUGCGAUGGGUAGCCGACCUGAGAGGGUGAACGGCCACACUGGGACUGAGAUACGGCCCAGACUCCUACGGGAGGCAG
rnacentral:rRNA from 1 species